UACGUAGGGUGCAAGCGUUAAUCGGAAUUACUGGGCGUAAAGCGUGCGCAGGCGGUCUGUUAAGACCGAUGUGAAAUCCCGGCUUAACCUCGGGAACUGCAUUGUGACUGGCAGGCUUUGAGUGUGGCAGAGGAGGUAGAAUUCACGUGUAGCAGUGAAAUGCGUAGAGAUGUGGAGAAUACCGAUGGCGAAGGCAGCCUCCUGGGCCAACACUGACGCUCAUGCACGAAAGCGUGGGAGCAAACAGG
rnacentral:rRNA from 1 species